rnacentral:rRNA from 1 species
UACCAGCUCUCCGAGUGGUGUGGAUGUUUAUUGGGCCUAAAGCAUCCGUAGCUGGCUGGGCAAGUCCCCUGUUAAAUCCACCGAUUUAAUCGUUGGUGUGCGGGGGAUACUGUUCGGCUAGGGGACGGGAGAGGCCGACGGUAUUUUCGGGGUAGGGGUGAAAUCCUAUAAUCCCGGGAAGACCACCAGUGGCGAAGGCUGUCGGCUAGAACACGCCCGACGGUGAGGGAUGAAAGCUGGGGGAGCGAACCGGAUUAGAUACCCGGGUAGUCCCAGCUGUAAACGAUGCAGGCUAGGUGUUUGGGCGGCCACGUGCCGCUCUAGUGCCGCAGAGAAGUCGUUAAGCCUGCCGCCUGGGGAGUACGGCCGCAAGGCUGAAACUUAAAGGAAUUGGCGGGGAGCACCACAAGGGGUGAAGCUUGCGGUUU